rnacentral:misc_RNA from 1 species
UACGGAGGGUGCAAGCGUUGUCCGGAAUUAUUGGGUGUAAAGGGUGCGUAGGCGGAAAUUUAAGUUUGGGGUGAAAUCCUGCGGCUCAACCGCAGAAUGGCCUUGGAUACUGGAUUUCUUGAGUGUAACAGAGGCAGGUAGAAUUCGUGGUGUAGCGGUGAAAUGCAUAGAUAUCACGAAGAAUACCAGUGGCGAAGGCGGCCUGCUGGGUUACAACUGACGCUGAGGCACGAGAGCGUGGGGAGCGAACAGG